rnacentral:sRNA from 1 species
AGCAGCCGCGGUAAUUCCAGCUCCAAUAGCGUAUAUUAAAGUUGUUGCAGUUAAAAAGCUCGUAGUUGAAUUUCGGGAUUAAUUUACUGGUCGUGCUAUUGUACGUACUGGUUUUAUUGAUUCCUCCCUUCUGACGAACUAUGAUACCAUUAAUUUGGUGUCUUAGGGAAUCAGGACUGUUACUUUGAAAAAUUAGAGUGUUUAAAGCAGGCUCACGCUUGAAUACAUUAGCAUGGAAUAACGGAAUAGGACGUUUGAUUCUAUUUUGUUGGUUUCUAGGAUCGACGUAAUGAUUAAUAGGGAUAGUUGGGGGCAUUAGCAUUCAAUUGUCAGAGGUGAAAUUCUUGGAUUUAUUGAAGACUAACUACUGACGAAAGC